rnacentral:rRNA from 1 species
UCCUACGGGGGGCUGCAGUGGGGAAUUUUGCGCAAUGGGCGAAAGCCUGACGCAGCAACGCCGCGUGCGGGAUGAAGGCUCUCGGGUCGUAAACCGCUUUCAGCAGGGAUGAAUAUGACAGUACCUGCAGAAGAAGCCCCGGCUAAAUACGUGCCAGCAGCCGCGGUAAUACGUAUGGGGCAAGCGUUAUCCGGAUUCAUUGGGCGUAAAGCGCGCGUAGGCGGCUUGUUAAGCGAGGAGUGAAAUCUGGGGGCUCAACCCGCAGCUUGCUUCUCGAACUGGCAGGCUUGAGUCUGGUAGAGGAAAGUGGAAUUCCUGGUGUAGCGGUGAAAUGCGCAGAUAUCAGGAGGAACACCAGUGGCGAAGGCGGCUUUCUGGGCCACGACUGACGCUGAGGCGCGAAAGCUAGGGGAGCGAACAGGAUUAGAUACCCCAGUAGUCC